GAUUAAUUGAGCUCCUAUGGAAAAACAAACCAACUGGUGUUUUGUUAAGCUCAGCUCCACCCGGGUGUCAUCCAACAGAGUCGGAGGCGCAAAUCCUACCCAAGAGGUGUUGGUGCUUUGGGGAGGAGAGAGGAGCAACCCAUGCACCUGUCCGCAGAGUGGGAUCAUGUGUCAGAGUGGGGAGAGAUGUUUUCUCCAUCCUGAUUUUCAUGGAGGUGGAUCUGCCCCAUCCUUGCCCCAGAGUGAUGGCACUGCCUACAUCUUCCCAUCCCCAGUGGGUUCCUCCCCCUCCCUGGUGUCCUGCAUUGGCAGCUCGCUCCAAUCGACCGCGGUGGGCAGCCAGAGGCCAGCCCGGGCACUGCACUGACAUCAGGGGCCAAGGUCCAGCCUGGAGAGCACAGAGCAGCAGCAGGACAGCCGGAGCCGGGCCCCCGCAGCACCAUGAGGCUGGGGCUGCUCUGCGGCCUCGCUGCCGCCGCAGUCCUCAUGGCAGUGGCUGGAGCUGACCGUGGAGACACGAAAAUCACACAGGGGAGAGAGGGGACGAGCGGCGUUGGCCGGCGCCGGCCCCACAGACCCUGCUCCGGGUGUUUCUCCGUCCUGAGCGAGGAGUCGCGGUCGAUGUCCUGGCGUGCCAGCGAGGACAAUGAGGUUCAGCCGCGCAGGCGGGAGAGGGACAGGAGGGAGGACAAGAAACCAGCACGGCACAUGAGACACCCCAGCACCGUCCAGCUCCCGCGACAGGAGGUGCUGAGUGCCCGGACGGCGCGUCAAGGAGCGACGCUGGUGUCUCGGCACAGCUCCACGCCAGGAGAGAACCGGAGGCCCGGCCAACGCCAGGCCAUGCACUGAGGCAGCUGGGGGACCCACCCCCACCCUCCACAGGCUGUAAGUGAGCCUGUGCCUGUGCAAACGCAGCCCCACUGCACACCCUGUGCACCCCAAAGUGCUUCUGGGGUCAGGCCCCCCACCCUGCUUUGCCAAGACGCUGAAUAAAGCCAGCAAGCCAGAGCACGUGGGUGCGUCUGUCUGUGUGUCCUG
rnacentral:lncRNA from 1 species